UACAGAGGGGGCAAGCGUUGUUCGGAAUUACUGGGCGUAAAGGGCGCGUAGGCGGCCUUCUAAGUCGAACGUGAAAUCCUCGGGCUCAACCCGGGAACUGCGUCCGAUACUGGAAGGCUUGAAUCCGGGAGAGGGAUGCGGAAUUCCAGGUGUAGCGGUGAAAUGCGCAGAUAUCAGGAAGAACACCCGUGGCGAAGGCGGCUCUCUGGGACGGUACUGACGCUGAGACGCGAAAGCGUGGGGAGCGAACGGG
rnacentral:rRNA from 1 species